CAUGCAAGUCGAGGGGCAGCAUAGAAGUAGCAAUACUUUGGUGGCGACCGGCGCACGGGUGAGUAACACGUAUGCAACCUGCCUGUAAGAGGGGAAUAACCCGGAGAAAUUCGGACUAAUACCGCAUAAUACCGCUGAACUGCAUGGUUUGGUGGUUAAACAUUUAUGGCUUACAGAUGGGCAUGCGUAUGAUUAGCUAGUUGGUGAGGUAACGGCUCACCAAGGCAACGAUCAUUAGGGGUUCUGAGAGGAAGGUCCCCCACACUGGUACUGAGACACGGACCAGACUCCUACGGGAGGCAACAGUGAGGAAUAUUGGUCAAUGGGCGAGAGCCUGAACCAGCCAAGUCGCGUGAAGGAAGAAGGUUCUAUGGAUUGUAAACUUCUUUUGUAAGGGAAUAAAAAGAGUUACGUGUAACUUAUUGUAUGUACUUUACGAAUAAGGAUCGGCUAACUCCGUGCCAGCAGCCGCG
rnacentral:rRNA from 1 species